UCCCUAUAGGGGCGAAUUGGGGCCCGGACGGUCGCAGGCUCCCCGGGCCCGCCAUGGCGGCCCGCGGGAAUUCGAUUCUGAGAGACGGCUACCACAUCCAAGGAAAGGCAGCAGGCGCGCAAAUUACCCAAUCCUGACACAGGGAGGUAGUGACAAGAAAUAACAAAGCAAGCUCUUACUGAGUUUUGCUAUUGGAAUGAGUAGAAUUUAAAUCUCUUUUCGACUAUCAAUUGGAGGGCAAGUCUGGUGCCAGCAGCCGCGGCAAUUCCAGCUCCAAUAGCGUAUAUUAAAGUUGUUGCGGUUAAAAAGCUCGUAGUUGGAUUUCUGCUUUGCGAGGCCGGUCACCACUACGUGGUUGUAUCUGGUUCUAGCAGGGCAUCCUCGUCAAAAUGGUUACUGUGCUUGAUUGCAUGGUGCUGUGUUGGCGACUUUUACUUUGAGGAAAUUAGAGUGUUCACGGCAGGCAAUCGCCCUGAAUAUAUUAGCAUGGAAUAAUAAUAUAGGAUCUGAUGCCUAUUUUGUUGGUUUCUAGGUGUUAGAUAAUGAUUAAUAGGGACAAUUGGGGGCAUUCGUAUUAAGGCGUCAGAGGUGGAAUUUCUUGGAUUGCCUUAAAAACGAACUACUGCGAAAGCAUUUGCC
rnacentral:rRNA from 1 species